AAGACUCAUAAGGUGAUUCACAAUGUGAGAGAACCUCUUUGGCACAUCACAUAUUGAUUCUCCCUUCUGCAUUCUGGGCAUUAAUACUCCUGGAUUAGAACAUGCUUCCUAGCUCUCUUUACACCAUUUGUGCCUUCAUGUGUGACCUCCAAGAUGUCCCACAUUUCUUUGGCCGAGCUACAUUGUGAAACCCUGAAAAACUCAUCACAACUUAGAGCAGAUGUUAUAAUAUUUUUAGCUAUCCAGUCAAACUUAACUUUCUUACAUUCUGCUUCUAUCCAUUCAGAUGAAGGUUUAUCAACUAAAAUAUCAUCUUUCUUAACGUGAGGUACAAAAGGACCAUUUUCAAUUGACUCCCAAAUGCCUUUGUCAGUUGAAUGUAUACAAAUAUUCAUUCUAACUUUCUAAAAUUGGUAAUUAACUCCACAAAACAAAGGUGGUCUGUUUAUUGAGGAUCCUUCCCUAAAGGGCAUUUUAUUAGCCAUCAAAAGAUUUUCAAAAACUUGAGUAACUUUCAAGAACCUUGCUCUUAAUGCCAAUUGUUAGGUAUGAUGGCUACAACAAGAGGGGGGGGGGGGGGGGUUGAAUUGCUUUCAACCUAUUUUCACAAAUGCUUUGCUUAGAAUGAAGCUCUAAUAAACAACUCAGAAAAGCAGUUCAAAAAACCAAUUCAAUAGUCAAAUAGAAAUUGGAAUCGGAAAAUCAAUCGGUUAAAAUUGCGAUUUAACCGGUUGUUUAUGACAGAGAAAAUACAAACAGUUUAAUAAGAGAUGAGAUAGAGAGAAUCAUACAUAGAGAUUAUACUGGUUCACUCAAUCAUAGAGCUACAUCCAGUCCUUAGUCAAACAACUGAGUUUUCACUAUGCAAUCAAUCAAAUAUUAC
rnacentral:lncRNA from 1 species